rnacentral:rRNA from 1 species
GACGGGCCCGCACAAGCAGCGGAGCGUGUGGUUAAUUCGAUGUUACACGAAGAACCUUACCAGGGUUUGACAUGCAAGUGGUAGGAAGCCGAAAGGUGACCGACCCUUCGGGGAGCUUGCACAGGUGCUGCAUGGCUGUCGUCAGCUCGUGUCGUGAGAUGUUCGGUUAAGUCCGCUAACGAGCGCAACCCUCGCUGUGUGUUAUAUGUGUCACACGGGACUGCCGGUCUUAAGCCGGAGGAAGGUGGGGAUGAUGUCAAGUCAGCAUGGCCUUUAUAUCCUGGGCUACACACGCGCUACAAUGGCCAACACAAUAGGUUGCUAAGCCGCGAGGUGGCGCCAAUCCAUAAAGUUGGUCUCAGUUCAGAUUGUAGGCUGCAACCCGCCUGCAUGAAGAUGGAGUUGCUAGUAACCGCAGGUCAGCUAUACUGCGGUGAAUACGUUCCCGGGGCUU